rnacentral:rRNA from 1 species
CUGCGCUAUCGGUGUUCUUCGGGAUAUCUAUGCAUUUCACCGCUACACCCCGAAUUCCGCCUACCUCGUUCACACUCAAGAAGGGAAGUUUCAACGGCAGUUUCGGAGUUAAGCUCCGAGAUUUCACCGCUGACUGACCCUUCCACCUACGCACCCUUUAAACCCAAUAAAUCCGGAUAACGCUCGCAUCCUCCGUAUUACCGCGGCUGCUGGCACGGAGUUAGCCGAUGCUUAUUCCUUGGGUACAUACAAAUAAGGACACGUCCCUAACUUUAUUCCCCAAUAAAAGAAGUUUACAAUACAUAAUACCGUCAUCCUUCACGCGAUUUGGCUGGUUCAGGCUCUCGCCCAUUGACCAAUAUUCCUCACUGCUGCCUCCCGUAGGAGUCUGGUCCGUGUCUCAGUACCAGUGUGGGGGAUAAACCUCUCAGUUCCCCUAUCCAUCGAUGGCUUGGUAAGCCGUUACCUAUACCAACUACCUAAUGGAGCGCAUGCCCAUCCAUAACCAAUAAAUCUUUAGCAAAUAUUACCAGGCGGUAUCCCUGCUUUAUGCGGUAUUAAUCCGUCUUUCAACGGGCUAUCCCACAGUUAUGGGUAGGUUGCAUACGUGUUACUCACCCGUGCGCCGGUCGUCAGCGGAGCAAGCUCCCUGUUACCCCUCGACUUGCAUGUGUUAAGCCUAUCGCUAGCGUUCAUCCUGAGCCAGGAUCAAACUCU